GCUCCACAAAACAAGGACAGAAGAGGUCGGGAUUAUUAUGGAAAGGGCAAGGGGAAGAUGUAUGAGGGAUCAGAGGCAAAGUGGGUCAAGGCAGCAGAGAGAAGUAACACAAGAGGCGCUCAUCAUCACGGCAAACACAGAGGUGAUAGCGAGGGAUCAAGCCACAAAACUUAUAGAAGGGAGGAGGUACGAUCUGGUGAUCAGGAGACGCGUACUAGGCCCUCUUCUGGUCAGACAAGAGCUCAACGGAAUCCCAUUGUCACACGAGAGGAGGCUAGAGAGGAAGGAGAGUUUAAGGUCUCUGAUGAGAGCUCGUUGAAUCCACCUUCUCAGGAGUUCCAGUUGGAGUUAGCUAGGACUCAAGCAGAGGGAACAAAGGUAGUCUCGGAUCCUACUUAUGAGGGUGUGGGGUUACAAAUAGUAAAUGGUCUGUUUGAGGAACAGGAAGGUCGUGUAGAGGAUGAUGAGAGGGAGAUGGAUGCUCUUGAGGCUAACCUGUUGAAGAGCGGUUUCGAUUUGGGGGCGGAAGAGGAUUUUCAAACUCUUUCGGAGGAAGAGGCUGAGAAAGCUUUGACCAAGGGAGAUGAGGUCCCUAUACAAGAAGAGGGUCUAGUGGAGAGUGAUACUAACGAGGGAGAAAGAAAGGGAGCAGGGGACGGACCGUCGAAGCAAGGGAAUCGAAAGCGACUAUUUAAGCCUACUUCGAGCACUGCAGGAAGCACCAAGAUGCGCAUUGCUAAUGCUCUGGUUAAGCGUGCUGCUUCCAAGGGAGCUACGCGUUACGGAGACAACAGCAAGCUACCGGAGACCAAGGGAACUUCAAACCCGAAAGCGCCAAAUCAAAAAUCCUAAGUUUUAUGGAUCAGGUUUUAUUAGCACUUCAUCUAUGCAAGGAAGGUGGGGUUUGCGGGAAAGAAGUUUUAAUGUAUUCUGUGGGAACCAAAAUUCGCACUGUCGAUUUCCGUUUAAAUUAGGAAAGUUAGGAAACUCUUUGGGUAUUGUCCUCUUUGCUCCAGUCUAUGCCAUAAGGAGGAAAAGUGUUCUCUAUAUGUGAAGAACACAGUGAAGAGUCCAGAGAGGAAGCGGGAGAGCAAAGAGGAGAAUAGAGGAUGGUCUGACGGGGGGAAGCAUGAUGAGAGAGCCAGGAGUUACAAAGGAGUAGUUAUUAAUGAUAAUGUGGCUCCACAAAACAAGGACAGAAGAGGUCGGGAUUAUUAUGGAAAGGGCAAGGGGAAGAUGUAUGAGGGAUCAGAGGCAAAGUGGGUCAAGGCAGCAGAGAGAAGUAACACAAGAGGCGCUCAUCAUCACGGCAAACACAGAGGUGAUAGCGAGGGAUCAAGCCACAAAACUUAUAGAAGGGAGGAGGUACGAUCUGGUGAUCAGGAGACGCGUAUUAGGCCCUCUUCUGGUCAGACAAGAGCUCAACGGAAUCCCAUUGUCACACGAGAGGAGGCUAGAGAGGAAGGAGAGUUUAAGGUCUCUGAUGAGAGCUCGUUGAAUCCACCUUCUCAGGAGUUCCAGUUGGAGUUAGCUAGGACUCAAGCAGAGGGAACAAAGGUAGUCUCGGAU
rnacentral:lncRNA from 1 species